UCUGCUGGUGUCGGGACUGUGCACCAUAGCGGUCGCGUUGUCCCGCCCGCCCUCUGCCUGCCGCGUUCCGCCGCCCGCACCGCCACAGCGGCGGCGGCGGCUGCGGAGGCUGCGGCGGUGCGGGCGGCGGAACGCGGCAGGCAGAGGGCGGGCGGGACAACGCGACCGCUAUGGUGCACAGUCCCGACAACAGCAGAC
rnacentral:miRNA from 1 species